GAUGAACGCUGGCGGCGUGCCUAACACAUGCAAGUCGAACGAAGCACCUUACCUGAUUCUUCGGAUGAAAGUUUGGUGACUGAGUGGCGGACGGGUGAGUAACGCGUGGGUAACCUGCCCUGUACAGGGGGAUAACAGCUGGAAGCGGCUGCUAAUACCGCAUAAGCGCACGAGGAGACAUCUCCUUGUGUGAAAAACUCCGGUGGUACAGGAUGGGCCCGCGUCUGAUUAGCUGGUUGGCAGGGUAACGGCCUACCAAGGCAACGAUCAGUAGCCGGUCUGAGAGGAUGAACGGCCACAUUGGAACUGAGACACGGUCCAAACUCCUACGGGAGGCAGCAGUGGGGAAUAUUGCACAAUGGGGGAAACCCUGAUGCAGCAACGCCGCGUGAGUGAAGAAGUAUUUCGGUAUGUAAAGCUCUAUCAGCAGGGAAGAUAAUGACGGUACCUGACUAAGAAGCUCCGGCUAAAUACGUG
rnacentral:rRNA from 1 species